rnacentral:lncRNA from 1 species
UUUUUGAAGAGUUUGAGAGCAACAUAGGUAAUAAAGAGGCCAUAUCACAUUAUGUAAAGAUUCAAAUAAACAAAUUUUAAGGGCUAAGAAGAAUUUCACAAUCUCAAUUAUCCCUAUACAGGCUUAAAUUGACCAGUUAGCAGGUAAUUGCAAUGUUAGGUCAAGAAACCAAUUUCAACGGCGCUAUGCUAGACACUGAAUCAGGAGGCUUGUAAAAAAACAAGGAAAAAUUUACUUUCAGGGUCUUUAAGUCAGCCUGGUGAAAAGAUAAGGUGUCCAGUUGAGGAGAAAUCCAAAGCAAACUGUCAACAAUAUCCGCAGCUGAAUACUUCAAUUUAUUUUGAAAUUUUACAUGCAAACGGUCAGUACCAUAAAGCGGAGAAAAAGAAACAACUUAUUAGAAAUCCCAGCAGCUAGCUUCUUCAAAGACUUUGAAAGACAUAAUACCUCAUCAUUUUUGCUUGAUAAUUCAACAGCCCUGUAGGGAUUGAUAAUAAACACCUUUAGAUGACUACAUCUCAAGGUCCACAAGGUUAGGUGCUCUAAUAUCAACCUCGUCGAAUUCAGGAGGGCAAGCACUAAAUCCCAAUUCUACCUUUUUUAGCUUGGAUACUGGUAAGUCCUUCAAAGCAAUGCAGUUUGUGGAUAGAUAGAUAGGUGAUCCAAAAGUACAAAUUGGAGGUAAAGGGUGUGCAAAGAUGAAAACUUGAUAGAAGGAUUAGAAGGAAUCUCACAGCCUCUCAAAAGUAGAAGAUUGAGUAAAGAUGUUGUGAGGCAGAGUGGGGUAGUGGUAAUCCAGAGUCUUAGCUGUGUCCAUCAUUGUAAAAUCCAAAGCGACGAGGGCUUCAAACAUAUUGUCGAUUCCAAAAAGGCAAAUAGGGAAAGCGUAGGUGAUUUUGGCGAAUUGUGUCCACAUAAGUCACAGGAAUUCCCAAAGUUUAACGAGGGGAGUGAGUUCCAAGGGCUGGACACCGCACCCAUUACUGCUACCUCUUUGACUUCAAGGAAUGACAGUAUGUGCUGCAAAAUUUCCUCCGGCCCGCACCGCCGCCAUACUCGAAUUGUACUAUGUGAUUACCAAUUGAAACUAAACAAGGCAGGAGGGGACAUGGGCUUGCGUUCCCAAACCUAUUAUCUUAGGACAUUGAUUUCCCAUAUAUAAAACGAAUUCACACAAAAACUCAUACAAUCUAGUUACCAAUUCCUAUAGUAAAAUUAUGUUUGGCCAACUCUUUUUUUUUUCUGUAAAGGGUUUAUUUUUUUCUCAAAAUUACUUACUUUCUUCGUUUUAUUUUAUUGUUUGGCUUUUCAUAUCUCUUAAAAAAAAAAAAAAAUUUAAUUAGAAAUGUAUUUUUCUAAAUUUAACUUUAUUAGUGAUGUUUUAAAAUUCUAAAUAUGGUCAAGUAAAACGAAAUGGAUGGGAUGCUUUUAAAAGAUUAAAUGUUUGGCCAAGCUUUUGAGAGAAAAUAAGUGCUUCCAGCGAUAGUAAAACAAAAACAAACUAUUUCUUAUCAAAAGCACUUUUAAAAAAAAAAAUUACCAUCUUUCAAAAUAAGGUAAUUUUAAAAAGUUGGUCAAACAAGCUAUAUACCUAAACCAAAUUGAUUAAGCAUUUUAACCCGUUUAGAUUGGUUUAAAAGUACUUCCUCUGAUUCAAUAUACCGUCAAACCUCUCUACAAUGACAAUACUUGUCUAAAAAUAUCAUGACUGCUAUAGAGGUGUUGUUAUAUAAGUAUACGACAUUUGACGUUUGAAUCUCAGUUAACUAUUAUAAACAAAAGUAUGCAAAAUUAGAAAGAGCAUGAAUAUAAAAAAAGGACAAAUAUUAAUAGCCUUUUCCUCGUAAAGUUAUGAAAUAGCUCAUGUGCAUCAUUUGAAUAUAAUUUUUUUCCUUUAAAUUAAAUAUUCAUACUUGAAAUUUUUUGUGUGCAUGACAUUAAUGAUGAUUACCGUAAAUAUUUUGGUAUUUUAUUUGUAACAUAAUACAUUUCUUACAAAAUAUUAUGACGUAAUAUUUGAGUAUUCUGUUAUAGAGAGAUAAUAAUUUUACAAAGACCUGUAUUGCUAUAAUAAACGUCAUUAUUGUUAUAGGUAGAAUGUCGUUGUAGAGAAGUAAAAUAUAAUAUGAAAAAUUAAUUUCGAAGAAAAUCAAUCUUGUGUAGUGAAAUACCGUUGUAACAAGGUAACGUAUAAAGUGGGUUGAAUUGUGGCACAUCCUCUUUAAAAACAUCAAUCAAAAUGAAAUUUGUGAAUAUUAUCAUUUUGAUUCUUUCUAAAGUUAAAUAUCAUUAACGAAUUUGCACUAUCUGUCACAACGUUUUGUGUGUCUUGAACUUUAAUUUUCUCAGCCAAUUGUCAAAGACUUCACUACUCAAACGUAGCAUCAAAAAUUCAUGCAAAAAUUAAAGUUGCAACCCUUGGACCCUACACGUUAAGGAUUGCUGCAAACUUGUUGAAUAGUAUCAAACUUGGAAACUACACUGCUUGUUAGUCUUCACUGGUCCCAAAAUACUUUUACUCCUUCUUCUGCAUGUUUUGAUUUCAAGUGUUGUUUGCUUAGCAAAAUAAGACAAAUAGGGAACAAUUGUUUGUCUCAUACUAGCAACUUGUUGCCACAAUAUAAUAAAUGAGAGCAAACGUUAUUGUCUAAGCACCUCAUAGUCGUAACAACACUCUAAAUUCGGAUUGAAGAAAUGAAGACUUAGCUAAGCAUCUAAUCCAUAUAUAAAGUCAAUUCUAGGAAAAUUCAAUGAUUUUAAAACAUUAAGCCGGCUAAUUUAACUACUGCCAUAGAGAUAUUUGCAAUUACUUCUUUAUAAAUUAUAACAUGCUUUUCUAAGGAACUGUUAUAGCCUUAUAUAAAGAAAUUCUGAUACUUCUAUACAAUAUUGGUUUAAUAUUGUUGAAUUGCUUGAUAACAUACUAGUAGUUGAAUAUAGUAAAGGUCUGAGAAAUGAGAAUAUCCAAGACUUCACCAAUAACCUUUACUCUCCUCAUAUCCAGGAAGUUUCAUAGAAUAUUUUAUUGUUGACCCCUAUGCAUAUAAUAGAAAAAGGAUUAAAAAAGAUAUACAACAAAACCAAAUCUUGGCACAUGCAUCUUAGCAUACAAGUCUUGGUCAGCUGAUGCCUAUAUAAGCAGCUCAGAAAUAAGAAUACUGCAUAGUGAAUUAAAACAAAAUUAAUACUUCCUUGAAGAAACAAUGAUCAUCUCUUUCCAUUCCAUUCUUGUUAGUUUCGCCUUAUGUUGCUCUAGCGCCUUGGGUGGCAACAGCUCAGUUAUUAACUUUCAAGUGGGUGUGAUUCUUGAUUUGGACACACAGCUCGGGCACAGGGCUCUCGACUGCUUGAUGAUUGCUCGUUCUGACUUCUACUCACGCCAUCCCAACUACACAACAAGAUUAGUUCUUCAUGCCAGGGACUCCAAAGGAAAUGCAAUUGAUGCUGCUGCUUCCGGUAAAUACACUUUCCUUCUUUUUUCCUAUACACUCUCUGUUAGUAGCCUCUGUCAGAAACAAAUCUGUGUUAAUGUCCACUGUCCAGUAGAGUACUACUAAAAUGGAAAAAUAGGAAAAGAAGAAAGAAGUGCCUUCGAGGAUCUGUGCAGAAUUCAGAAGCAAAACAAUCUUCUUUAAUCUAGCACACCAUGCUGCAGUUGAUUACGGGCAUACUGAGAUCACUAUAUCAUCAACCUCAGUACAUCUUGCCUAGAGCAAUGAUAUUGCUUUCCUCUUUUUCCUUUUUUGACUUCAUUUAUUGAUGUAGCUACUACUACUACUUUUAGCAGGGGUGGAGCUAGAUGCCCAUAUACAAGUUGAGCAGAACCUAGUAGCUUCGUUCAAACAAUAUAUUUGUGUUGAGGAAUUCAUUAAAUAUGUACACAUUAUAUUUAAGACCCAGCUAUUAGCACUUGAAGUCAUCGUUCUAAAAUCUAAAACCCUUUAGAUUUGAAAUGCUGACUUUGCCCCUGACUUUAAGGCAAUUAUGUGAUCCACCACCUUGAACACUGCCAUCAAUUUCAGUAAAUUUACUUACAGACAGUCCAAUCAGCUAUAUCAUGAUAUCUGGUCUGCCUGAAUGGACUGUGCGCACGCCUAAACUUUGAAAGUAAAACAUACCUUAUACGAGAAACUUUUGGGAUAUAAAAUCCAUCUUCCCUUCGUAUAAAAAUUGCAGGUCUUCAAUUGCUGAAAGAUAUAAAAGUCGAUGCAGUAAUCGGGCCUCAAAAAUCCUCACAAGCCAACUUCUUGAUGAAUCUUGGAGAGAGAGCGCAAGUCCCCAUAGUAUCUUUCUCCGCAACCAGCCCUUCUCUUCAACCUCGAACAAAUUUUUUUGUUCAAACAGCCCAGACAGACGACACUGAGGUUGGUGCCAUUGCUGCCAUUGUCAAAGCCUUCCAGUGGAAUCAGGUUGUGAUCAUUUAUGAAGAUUCAGAGUACGGUAAUGGUAUCGUUCAUUACUUGUCUAAUGCCUUGCAAGACAUCAAUGCUCGUGUUGCCUACAAGAGCCUCAUCCCUGUAUCAGCUCACGAGGAUUUUAUACUCAAAGAGCUGUACAAGAUGAUGACCAUGCAGACUAGGGUAUUCCUAGUACAUCUGUCGUAUUCUCUUGGUGCCAAGUUCUUUCUAAAAGCCAAGGCAAUAGGUAUGAUGAGUGAAGGCUAUGUCUGGAUCAUCACCAGUGGUCUUAUGGACUUGCUUUCCUCCAUGAAUUUACAUGUUGUGGAAGCCAUGCAAGGGGUAUUGGGAGUAAAGCCACUCAUUCGCAAGACUAGCAAUCUUGAUCCACUUAGAUUGCAAAAGACAAUCUUUGACCUUGCCAAUCCUGGUUAUAAACCAGCAGAUACUGUGAGCAAUUUUGAAGUAUGGGCAUAUGAUACUAUGUGGGCACUAGCUAUGGCUGCCGAGCAAGUUGGAACUCACUAUCCAGAAGCUUCAUAUCUGGACACAACUGCCGACCUCAAUUUUUCAGACCUAUUCAACCUUCCUAUCUCAAAAAGAGGUCCUAAACUUCUCAAAGCAAUUCUGACGACUAGGUUUAAAGGGCUUAGCGGGAUGUUCCAUCUCGUUGAUGGAAAAUUGUAUCCAACGUCAUAUAAAAUACUCAAUGUUGUUGGAAAUGGAGAGAAAGAAGUAGCAGUCUGGACACAGUCUAAUGGAUUAAAAAGUGUGAGACGCAACACUGUCGACAAAUUUAAUUCAACCAAAAAGGAGGAUUUCAGUAGUAGCAUCAUGUGGCCAGGGAAAUCUAGAGUGAUACCAAGAGGGUGGGAAGUUCCAGUGAGGGGUAAAAAGCUAAGAGUUGCAGUGGCAGUGAGACCUGGUUUUGAGGAAUACUUGAAUGUGAUGAAGGAUUCGAGGACAGGUGCUGUUCAUUUUGGUGGGUACUACAUAGAAGUAUUCAAAUCAGUGAUGGCAGCUUUACCAUAUGCAGUGCCUUACGACUUCUUUCACUUUGAGAAGCCAGAUGGCUCAUGUGCAGGGAGUUACGAUGAUCUUAUUAAUCAAGUGUUUCUUCAGGUAACUAUACUAUAAACUAUUACUGGCAGCAGAAAUAUGAUUAAACUAUCCAAUUAGUCGUUCCUCUUAUUUCCUCACCAGAUUGUGUUUCUAUUCUUUGACCCUGCAAAUUCAGAAUUAUGAUGCUGCCAUUGGAGAUAUUACAAUCACAGGAAACCGAUCAAACUACGUGGACUUCACUUUGCCAUUCGCAGAAGGAGGAGUGGUCAGAAUUGUUCCAAUUACCUAUGAGGAUGACAAUGGUAUGUGGACAUUCUUGAAGCCCAUGAAGAAAGAACUCUGGCUCACAAGUAUAGCCUUUUUCUUUGCUACGGGUUUAGCUGUUUGGAUUCUUGAACACAGAACAAGCUCAGCUUUUCGGGGUCCUCCUUCACACCAUCUUGGCAUGAUCUUCUAUUUUCCCUUCUCCACUUUAGUAUUCGCACACAGUGAGUUGAUCUUAUGUAAAAGCAUCUUCUUCAUCUUGCAUAAAUGACUUUAGCUGACUAUAUUUAUAAUGACAUCUUAUUUUACAGGAGAAAGAAUGGUGAGCAAUCUGGCUCGUCUGGUUGUAGUAGUAUGGAUGUUCGUAGUACUCAUAUUGAACUCCACUUACACUGCUAGCCUAUCAUCAAGGUUGACAGUACAGAGGCUACGACCAGCUAUUGCAGAUGUGAAGGAACUCAUCAGGAAAGGACAUUCUGUGGGCUGUUACCAAGGCUCAUUUGUAUGUGAUACUUUAAGGGGGAUGGGUUUUAAGGACUCAAAGAUCAAGAUGUACAGCCUUCCAGAAGAUUAUAAAGAAGCUCUGUCAUAUGGAAGCAAGAGUGACAGCAUAUCAGCAUUUUUUGAUGUGGUUCCUUACUCCAAACUCUUUCUAUCGAAGUACUGUGACAAGUACACCAUUGUCGGCCCAACCUAUCGCACCGAUGGUUUUGCCUUUGUAAGCAUUAAAGCCUAUAAGCUCUACUUACUCUAGUCUCCUUGUAGUAUAUUUGACGACUAUGGUGUCUGGGCCAACUUGUGUGCACCUCGACUAAUCCACUCGAUACCUGCUACCUCCUACUAGCACAAGCAUCAAGUAACUUCGUCCACAACGGUUUACGCAUGUGGGAAGAAAUCAUCUAGUGUUUUUUGCCUCCACUAAAAUUUGAACCUAAGACCUCAUGAUACCUCAUCCCCUCCCCCCCACACUUCGUUGACCCCUAGGCUUUCAUCCAUUUCCCCCUCGUAGUAUAAAGUGCAGCCCGGUAAACAAAGCUCCUGCUUUGCGUGGGAUCUGGAAGAGGGCCAGACCACAAGGAUCUAUCCUACGCAGCCUGACCCUACAUUUCUGCAUGAGGUUGUUUCCAUGGCUUGAACCCCUGACCUCCUAGUUACAUGGUGACAACUUUACCAUUUCCCUGUUGUAGUAGAUAUUUACAAUAGUAUCAUCCCUUUCCCCAGGUGUACUCAUUUGUCUUUUGAAAAUCAACAGGUUUUCCCAAAGGGAAGUCCUUUGGUGGCUGAUGUCUCUCGAGAAGUUAUCAAGCUAACAGAGAUCGGUGAGAUGUUAGACAUCCAACGGGAGUGGUCCAUAAGUGAUCCCACAUGUAAUGGCCCAGACACCACUGUAACCUCAGUCAGUGUCUCACUACAAAGUUUCAAAGGGCUCUUUGCUAUAACUGGCGCCAUCACAUCUUCAUGCGUACUUAUUUUCAUAGCCAGCUAUGUUUACAAAAACAGAAGUUCUCUUCAGCAAAUUUUGAAUUCCAGAACUACCGUUUGGUCCAAAAUUAAAGAAAUAGGGACACACUUUGACCAAAGAGACCUCUCAAUUCAUCCUACUAUCAUGGAAAGAGACCCGAAGUUUAAGUAUCCAAAACCAGAAGUAGCAGAAAUUGUUUCUUCAUCAGAGUCUGUUCACUCGUCCAACACUAAUCUAACGGUACUUAGUCUGCCUAUGAAUAUUCUUUCCACUCAAUCCAACAACGUUGCAGUGCCAAACAUUCCUACAGAUUCUACUUUUUCAAACUCUGCUGUUGUGUUACCUGUUUCGGAAGAAGAAUCAAACACCGCCAUUGAUGCCUCUGACAGCUGACAACAGCAACGCAAAAUUAGACUCCUAGCAUCUGCUCAUCAGUCACAACAGUUGUAUAAAUUUAUAGUUGAUUCGCAUGUAAAAUCCCAGGUCAUGAUAUCUAGAUGCAGAAUUUAGAUGUUGCAAAAAUGGGAAGAAUAAAGAUCAGGUUGUUUAGCAUCUUUCUGAACUUGGAUAUCAUGCCCCCAGUAGUAACUGUAACCUGAAAUGGAUCUAGGAAACCAGCUUGCACUCAGUACUAAAAGAAAAAUAAUGUGCACCACAUCACCCACCUUGAUUACAAAUGAACCCACACACUGUCACCACAACCCAGUUCCCCAAUAAAAUUGAUCAGAGAAAAGAACAUCACAAAAAAGAGAAUAUAUUUACUUUUCAGUAGGUUUGUUCUGGAAGGAUUGAAAAGAAAGCAACAGAAAGCAGGUCUUAGAUUCCUUAUCCCCAGAUUUCACCUGCACCAGCUAUCAAUUACUACAAAUCAUUAUAGAGUUUUACCAUAGAAAAAGAAAGGGAAAAAUACACAAGAGAGCUUCUUUUAGUGAAGUAAUUAUACAAUUGCAGAUAGCUAGGGAGAUAGCGAUAUGGCAUUAACAUAACAGAUCCUCCUAAGAAUUGCAAAAGAAAUUGCUUUUUGCUGACGAUAUGAUUAACUAAGAUGAACAUCAUUAAGUUAUCUUUAGUUUUCAUCCAUGUACAUGUGAUGGAAAAAAACAUUUACAGCUACAAGGGAUACACCUUCUCUUCCUAAACUGCAGGCAGUAAAUAGAUUUCUAUCUAUCCUCUAGAAAUAAAAAGAUACUGAACCUACAGGCAGCAUUUUGUAACAUGGAUUCGGCAAGCUGAAAGUUAGGACUACUUUAAUCAGGAGAAUAUUGUUGUAUCUGGAACACAUCAGAAGUUUACAUGGAAUAGCAUGAUACAUUAGAUAUUACAUGCCCAUGAUAGCUAGUAGUUGCUUCUUAUACUCAAACUGGACCUUGCUAAUAGCUUGAUCACCUCUUUCAUAGAGGGUCUUCUGCUUACAUCCUUCUCUGUACAUCUAAGAGCUAGUGAAAGCACUUCAAUUACUUGUUCCAUGACACUUGAGUCUAUGAAUUCAUCCAAAAGGCUUGGAUCCACGAUCUUCUCAAUUUCUUCAGUUUCUGUCCAAAUAGACCUAACCCAACUCACAAUAUCUGUAUUCCCAUAGAGUGAAGGAUCCAAGGCCCUCUUUCGAGUUAUAAGUUCUAACAGGACAACACCAUAACUAUAAACAUCUGACUCCUUGCUCUUUGAAGCUGCAAACGCAGUUUCUGUCAACAAAACAGACAAGACACAGACUACUAUUUUUCUGCAGAUGACUAGGUUUCUAAAGAGAGAGCAACUGAAAGGAUGUGUGAGAAAAAAAAAAUGAAAACUAGGAAGAUACCUGGAGCCAUGUAUCCAACUGUACCCUGAAAGGUAUUGGAGGUGGAAGUUGCUCCAGACUGAUCAAGAAGCUUGGCAAUGCCAAAAUCUGAUAUGUGAGGCUCCAGAUCAGAGUCCAACAAGAUAUUCAUGGGCUUGAUAUCUCGAUGAACGAUUGCAGGAUCACAGUCAAAGUGGAGAUAUGACAACCCCUGAGCAGUUCCAAUAGCAAUUCGGUACCGAACGCUCCAUUCUAAUGUUACAGGUGGAUUAAUCUCAUGGAGAAUAUCAUGAAGGCUCCCGUUCUCCAUGUAGUUAUAAAGAAUCAGUCCAUAAUCCUUUCUCAGCCAGAAGUCUUCUAAUUUGACAAGAUUGCGGUGUCUAACCUUUCCAAUUGUCUGAAUUUCUCUAACCAUACUUGUGCUUCCAUCCUUUAUACCAACAAACACCAGCUUCUUCACGGCGUACACUUUCCCUGGACCCAAGAUGGCCUUGAAUACAAUUCCAUGUGCUCCUCUACUAAUGACAUACUUAUCAUUUAGGUUCUCUGUAGCUUCCAAUACUUUAUUAAGCAGGGACGAAGCACCUUCUUGAGCACAGAUUGCAACUCCUUUCGCAGAAUUUUUGCGCCACAGAAGCAUGUAAGCAAUUACUAGGAGUAAGCAAAUGGUAAAUAACAGUACCCCAAGUGCAAUCAUUGCCGUCUCUGCUCCACUUAGGUGUCCUCCAUUUUUUGAUUGAAGAUCACAAGGCCUUAGAGUGCCAUUCUCAGGGCAAUUUGAGCCUUCUUCCGGAUCACAGUGCACGCAAAGGCCCAAGUUUCCUGAGAAAGAGGUAGGAGUUGAGUUUAGGAACUUCAUCAAAUUUGCAGGUACUGGACCAGAAAAGAGGUUGUGUGACACAUUGACGAAGAUCAAUGAACGCAUCCCCUCAAGAACUCUUAAAGUUCCAGUAAUAUUGUUUCCAGCUACAUCUAACUUCUCCAGGAAAGUAAAUUUCCCUAGCUCUGCAGGAAGUUCACCUGUCAACCCGUUACUACUCAGAUUCAACAACCUCAGUGUUUCUCUUGAUGUAGUCGCAAUUGCUUGAUGAAUUUCCCCACCAAGUGCAUUUCCGCCAAGCUGCAGCUCAGACAGCUUCUCGAGUUCAAACAAGGAGGUUGGAAUACCUCCUGAAAGAUUAUUCUCACUCAGACUCAAAAUGGAUAGCUCUCCCAAGCUUCCAAACGUGGAUGGGAUCAAUCCACUCAACAAAUGAUGACUUACAUCAAACUGCAACAGUCUCUGCCAGUUUGAAAGUUGAGAUGGCAGUACACCUUCCAAACUAUUGUACGAAAAAUCAAGAACCUGGAGGUUGACAAGGUUUGCCAGCUCUGGUGGUAUAAACCCCGAGAGCUUAUUCACUGAUAAGUCAAUUGAUGUAACAUUUACAAGAUUUGCCAAACUUGCGGGUAUUUUCCCACUGAAGCCAUUUUCACUGAGAUCCAAGAAAAUAGGAUUUAUAUUCUUAACAAAAUCUGGAAUGGCACCUGAGAGUUUAUUCUUUUUGAGAAUUACUCUCGUCAAAGUAGCACACUUUCCUAAUUGAGAAGGAAUGCCACCUUCAAAAUGAUUAUAACCUAACAUAAGUUUCUGCAGUUUCUUGCCAAAACAAAGAUUAGGUGGAACAGGACCUCUGAAGGCGUUGUUCGUGAAAUCCAGCAGCGUUAGACUGCUGUUAAUCCCCAAACCUUGAGGUAUAACUCCAGUAAACCGGUUGUCAAAUAAAGAUAUGUUCUUCAAUUGUUUCAACUCGGUCAUUUCAAGAGGUACCUCCCCGGUCAGGUUGUUCGGAUAGACAAGAAAAUGUUGAAGACUUUGAAUCUUCCAAAUGGCGCGGGGAAUCUCGCCGCUCAAUUUGUUGGAAUAUAGAGCGAGAUACUGCAACUGGCUGAGUGACCCUAGUUCACUAGGAAUUUCACCUUCCAGUUGGUUUUCUGGUAAAAGUAAUUCCAGCAAGGACUGGCACUUCCCCAGCUCAGGUGGUAUUUUUCCAGAGAAAUUGUUGUCAGCAAGGUAAAGCUUCUCUAACUUUGUGAGCUGGCCUAGAGAAGCAGGUAUAGGGCCACUUAAACCAGAAGAGAAAGCAGCAAGAACUCGUAGGUUAGUACAAUUGCUCAAACUUGGUGGAAGACUUCCAUUUAAAUUGUUGGAUGACAAGACCAGAGUGUCAAGAUCUUUGCAGUUCCCACCUAAACUGAAAGGGAUACUUCCUUGUAGUCUAUUACUGCUUAAGUCCAAAUAAACAAGGUGUUCUAGCUUAUCUAAAUUCUCAGGCAAACUACCAACUAAAUUGUUUUCAUUCAAAUACAGUUGUUGCAAGUUAGUACAGCUACUAAUGGAAGACGGAAUUGGCCCGGACAACUCAUUGUCAUAAAGAAAGAGAGACACAAGGUUAGUUAAGUUACCAAUGCUAGAUGGGAUGGAACCAAUUAACCUGUUUUGGAAAAGGUAAAUGGAGUCCAAAUGUGGGAUAGAAAACAAGGAAUCGGGAAUAUUACCAGUCAAUGAAUUAGCGUAGAGGCUUAUGUAGGUCAACUUGUGUAAAUUUCCAAUCUUUGAAGGGAUUUAUCCAGUAAAGGUGUUGUAGGACAGGUCCAAGUAAUCAAGAAGAGUGCAAUUUACGAGUUGAGAAGGAAUAGAGCCAAAGAAAGCAUUAUAGCUCAGAUCAAUGGUACGCAAGUGCUCCAAAUAAGCAAUUUCAGGACCCAAUUGGCCAGAGAUUCCAUAGCCAGAGAGGUUCAAAGAAGUGACAAGGUGAGUGGUAUCACAUUCAACACCAACCCAAGAACAAGGAGUGGAAUCUGAAGCAUUCCAAGAAGACUUAACGGAGGAGGGCAUAGCAGUCCAGUGCUUGAAAAGGGAAAGUAGAGCUGUGCCAUGGGAAUUGAGAGCACAAACCGACACAGAGAAGCAGCAAAGGUAGAAAAAGAUGACAUUUUUUACAUCAAUCUUCAUAAUUUGAACAAGAAUAAGAGUGCUAUUAAGCAAGCUGGAUAUAAACAAGAAAUGUUUGUGGGAAGCAGGAAGAAAUUUGAAGUGUAAUUUAAGGAGGGGAAAAGGAAUUGGGAAUUUUCUUGAACAGAGUGAUGGUUGUUUAAGUGUGAAAGGAAAUGGGAACAUGUUGAGAAAACACCGCAGCGUCAAAGGGAUAAAUAUGAUAUAUCAAAUAUAAUACAGCGAAUUUAAUCGGAUGACCACAGACUCUCGUUACCCUUUUUUUUUAUUUUACACAAAUUCGCCCCUAUGUGAACUGGGUCUGGGUAUGUUGUAGCGUGUGAAAAUGCCACAUAUUCAUUGCUUUUAUGUAAACACCAGGAGCGAAUCAUGUGCUGUGCUUACUAGUCACUCGAACAUAACAAGACACUGAUAACUUGCAUAAAUUUUAUGAUAAUUAUGCAGUAAUAAUAAUAGGAAGUAACGUUACAUAAAGAUCACGUAUUUCAAAGAUAUUUUUGUAAAACUAUUGUACCCAAAAAAAAUAAAUAAAAAAAUACAAAUAUCACCUAAUGCCACCAACCAAACACUGCAUUAGUAAAGAUAUAAAUUAUUUCACAUAGCCAACGAUACGCUGCAUAAUCAUUCGGAGAUCGUCUUUUCAAUCCCUCCAACCAAACAGUCCAAUGAUAAAACCUACGGCUGAGAGACUCAGUGCAGGCAAUGCACCAUUCCGAAGUUUUAACCAAUGAAAUCAAGUAACAUGGUUAUCACCUUUAAAUUAAAUAAAAGAACAAAUACUGGCUGAUUUAGAAUGUUACGGAUUUUCUGAUCCUACAAAAUCCUUUAACUAUUGCUCUUCAAAGUCGCUCACUCUAAAUUGUUACAGAUCAUAUAUCCAACCAAAGCCAACCAUGAAACUCAAGGAGUCCAACGUUUGAUUGCAGUUGGACUAUUGGAGUUAGCUGAGCAAAAAGGAAACAAGCAAGAACGCUCAAACCUAGCACACCAGCCUGAAACAAACAAGAACCAUCUUCUCAUAGGACGCCACAUCAACAUCCACAUGAUCGUGCACACUCUUUUUGGUCAUUCCCAAGUAAGAGGAAGUCCCCUCUUUUUGCACAUAUCCUGCAUAAUACAAGCACACUGGACUUUCCAGGACAAUCCAGUCUUCCAGGUUAUGAAAAUCUGGAUGUUACAGUGUUAUCAUCAGUUUUAAGUUAAGGGAUUAAUGGACUGACUGACAACCCUAACCAGUGAGAGUUGAGAUGGAUGACAACCGCAUUAUGAUCUCAAUUUAUGAUGCAGAUUCUAUUUCACUCCAUACAUAAUAUGUUGAUAGAGGUGCUAGGAAUUCAGAGGUUUAAAACAUAUGUUAGUACCAAAUAGAGAAAUUCUCAAAUGUAGAAUACAAUGUGGCACCACAGACCAACAAGAUUUAAGACGAGAAAUUAAAUGCACCCUAUGAUGUAUCACAAAUGUGAACGCUGAAUAAGCCGACAAUGUUGAGAUGACAGUGCUUCAAAUGCAUGUCUUGGAUAAACUAUGAUAUGGUCCAAAAAGAUGUUCAUGUCAAGAAGAUAAUGCCCAUGACUUGAUGAUAGCAAGGAUGCAUGCAACAGCUGCAUGAUGCAUUUGUAUUUGGCAGAGCAUAGAGAACAGAAUACAUCCCUGAAGCUACUGGUAGGUCAGACGUGGAGGACCUCCAUUUGCGUUGGAGGCAACAGUUGGGUGGCCAAAGUCCUUCCGUUUCCCAAAUGGAUUCUUUGAAUAUGUAGCUGAAUAUUAAGGAGAAUACAUGGUCAUCCAAAGAACGUUACAACAGAUUAGAAAUUAUUUUUUUUAUCAGGGACAGAUUAGAAAUUUAUAAAACUCAAAACUCCUAAAGGAGUACUUUCAUGAGCCCUAUCACGCCUUUGUAGCAUAAAUUAUCAUCUCUACUUCUCACAUAAAUCGUGGUUUUAUGUAUUAGGAAAAAGGCUACAGGUAAAGUGUAAGCUUUUAAAGAAGCAUAGACCUUUCUCAAAUGUCACAUGGAGACACAAAGCACUAUCAUCAUUUUCUCUUUCCAUUUUGGAUGUUAGGAAAGAAAAAGAACAAUGGAAAAAAGUUUAAGAGGUUGGCCGCAACAUUUGCAAAGGAAUAACAGGCCAACAUCAUGAAUAAAAUGCUAGUCAAGUGUCUCUCGGUUAGCAGCAAUCAUAAUGAUAUUUCAAAAACUGAGUUCUCCACUUCCUAAAAGCUCCAUGAAUCACAAUUCCAAAGGGAGCUUCAGCAUGUAAUUAUUGCCCCUUCAGCGUCCCCGAAGAUAACUUUGUUCAACUAGGUUGUAUCUGUGUAAGCACAAAGCCCAUAAAAUAUUUGUCCAACAUCAAAGUUCACACUUCCAAGUCAAGAGUCAAACUCAGAUCGCUAAAACAACAAAGCGGCAGAAACAAAGAGAAAAGGAUGAUUAUGGAAUAUCAAGAUCCAGAAGAUGAGACAGCUAAACAAGAAGAAAGGAUAUUGAAUUCGCAUGCCAACUGAACUAGAGCUCGGUAUGACAGCACCCUGCAAAUUCUGGUGCACAUUGGUGGCGCUAUUCACUUGCUGCAUAUACAAAGGGCAGAAGUUGAUACUCGAAAAGGAGCACAGAAUGUGCACACAAACUAAAGAUGAAUCGAGAAGAAUCUUGCACGGGAUAAUACGGAACUUACUUCAAAUUCGAUGAAACACACUGUAUGUCUUUCCUGUCUCAAAACCUUCAUCUCCUUGAAACCAGGUUGUCUGGUAGUUCAUUAAGCAAAUGAAUAGAUUAGACAUAAGAGGGAGACAUAAAAAUAAGAAAUAAUACUUCCGCAUAAACAGAAUAGCAAAAGCCAUACCCGCUGAUAAGUCCCCACAGCUCUUCCUCAUUUAUAUUCUCUCCAAGAUUGCCAAUGAACAGGGUAUUGCAAGCAGGGUUGUCUUUAGUAUUCUACAAGAAAGGAAAAAAUAGAUCAGCGGAUAAAGCAAAACACAAACUAUACCAUAAAAGGUGCAGAAAUCUUCAGAACAAGCAUAUACUGCACAAAUGCUACAUCCACCAGCUAUAUAGAGCAGAACUUUGUCUCAACAAUAUCAGCAGUAACAGUCUCCAAAUGAUCAGCAAAACACAACACUAUUAAACUGAAGGAAGUCAGAUAAGACAAACUUAACAAUAAAGUUAAUACUCUAGCCGUAAACGAAUAUGCCAUAGUAAACCCAGAUCAAAAACAGAAAUAAGACAACCUAAAAAGAAACACUAAGAGAAGGCACGCUGGAAAAUAUGUCAACCCUUAGUUCUCUGUUCUAACACAAAUCACAUUGCAGAGACAUGCAUGCAUCACCUGGACUGGCGCAUAACUGCUUGGUGCUGACACAGGAGCAGGCGCCGACACUGGCAUGUGAGCAACAGGGUAGCCUCCAUAAGGAUUGUAUGGUGGAGGACCUUGAGUGAUACACCUGAGACACAAACUACCUUACUUUUUUUUUUCAUUUGGGGGUAGAUUGAGGAUUUGAAAUAAAGGAGAUAAAAUCACUAACUACUAAUAAAAUAAAUCAUAAAACCCCUUUCAACUUUCUUUUCUUGUUUCUCCUAGAAACCUGAUUAUAUAUAGUUCAGAAAUUAGCUCUAAACUGCUAGAACUAUCAAUUCCUAUCAAUAUCACAUUUUUCGUCAUAAUGUUGUUUUAAGAUGCAAAAGAAAAUUUUGCAUUUAGAAGAACUCUUACCCAUGUGGUGCCCAGACAGGUGCCGGGGGAGGGUGGAAAGGAGAGGGACUUGAAUAACCAGUGUGUGUUUAAUCACCUCCAGUACGCAUACGUUUACUAGGGUCAUGUGCAUUUGAAUCAGCUACAAUUCCUGCAGGCAUAUCAAAUAAGAAGAGCCUACUGUAACGUUGUUUGUCAUACAAAUAGUUGAAUCCUGCAUAAACACAGUCGUGACAACCUAAACAAGCAAAUAAAUAAAAGAGGAGUCUCGGCAAUGGAGAUCAACAAAGAUGGGAAGAAAGGUGAAAUUGAAUAAGUAAAAUGUGAAGAAAAUUAUUAGGCCACUAGGAUUUCUUUAUGUAUCUUGAUGUAUUAUCUAAAGAUAAAAACUACACCUAUUAAAUGGAGGUUAGGUUAGUGGUGAACCAAGAAGGCUGAUACACUUGCUAAAUAACGGUGGGUGAAACCACUAGAGCAGAUUAUCUCCAAGGAUCUAAAAGAUUAACCACAAAUUAUGAAAUUUAAGAAAACUCGCAACCAUUGAAAUAAAAAACAAUACAAAUCAGAAAAAGACAGAGCUGCAAAGUUGAAUUUGACACCUCAAACCAAUACAAAUCAGAAAAAGACACAAAGCUUGUGCUUAUAACUCGAACAGACAUUGGCAUUUCUCUGUUAAAACUUUGCCUAUCUCACUUUCGAUUAGAGUGCUUUGACUUUGGUGCUGCGAAUCACUAUCUCAUGCUACUGCCUACUAACUUGGUUUAAAAUCAAACAGGCUUACCCUAAAGGAUCUCCUUUAGUUGCUGAUGUGUCACGUGCAGUCAACGAACUAACAGAGAAUGGGAAGAUCCUGGAAAUGGAGCGAAAUUGGUUGAGAAAUGAACCAAUCCGUGCAGGACCAGACAACAGCAUAAACUCAAUCACGAUCUCAUUGCAAAGUUUCAAAGGCCUUUUUGUCAUUACAGGCGGAGUUACAGCAGUAUGCCUCCUCAUUUUCAUAGCCAGCUACCUCUACAAGUACAGAGAUUUCCACCAGAGAAUCUCAAAUUCACAAACCACGAUUUGGUCAAAAGUCGUAGCAAUUAGCAGACACUUUGAUGGUCUCUAUCAUCCGGUCAACCACAAGAUAAACUUCCAGAAUCUGGAAUUACUCAUAAUAAUUCUUCAGAAAAUUCUAUCCAACCAACAGAUUUGCCAAUACAUCAUCAUCCCAACUCCAAUGAUAUUGUAUCCUCUGCACCAGAAGACGUACAGGAUGCUAGUGGAACAAUUCAUUAUUCGAAUUUGGAAGACAUGUCUGCUGCACAACACUCAGGAGUAGUCCAUCCAUCUGCAUAACUGAACUAAAGAUAGUUGUAGUUUUCAUUGUGCAAUUUUCGGUUUCUUUUUUGCCUUUUCUGGGCCAGUAAAGUUGCUCUGUACGUAUUACCAACUAAUUGUGCAGUUCUAUCUUCUUCUUCUUCCUUCAACUAAUAGUUCCAACUAAUGAAACUCAGAAAGUCACUCAACUAAUAGUUAUUAUCAGAAAGUGAGUUUCUUUGUUGAAGAAAAUUCAAAACAGGAUAGAUAAUUGUGUAACCUCCUGGAAGAUAUUACUGCCAGCAAACAAAAUAACGAACAAAUAUUGUAAAACAGAGGAUAAAACCAGAAACCAACAGAAUUUUCACAACUUACAUCACUUACCCAUUUAUGAUCCAAUGGAAUGGAUUUUUAGAGGAGAAGUCAAGUUAUUAAACAGUGAAACACAAGUGAAAAUCGAGAGAAGUGAUGCUGUAGCCCGGAAGAAAACAACACUACCACAGAAUCUUUCAGAACUACGAGGCACCCCAAAGGUAUCUGAAGAGAAUUGCCCAAUAUGCCAAAAUCUGCAUGUAACCCGAGAAUUUCUGUGUGCAGUUUUUGAAUAUGCAUUCUAAUUGCCAACUCCACCCUAGCAUCGUUAUAUCGUCUGUCACUACCAACAGCAGCAAAAAGAAGAAAUAAUCAUUCAAUUUCUCUUGCCCCAUGCAUGCUUAAUUUUAAUCUUUACAAGAAGAUGUAGGAGCAGAACAAACAAAAAGUUCCCAUUGUCAAAGAGUACAUAACUCAUUCCUAUUAAGUACAUCCAACCAGACAGGAUCAGAUUUCUUCCAAAUACAUGAAAAGAUGAGACUAGAGACAACCACACCAAAUAACCAAAAAGAAGCUUAAACCCGAAUUAACAAUUAUUGAAAUGAGAUAAUGGAAGAACAUCUGCUUCUGUGCUUUACUAUGUGUUUGUGUGAUAUCUUGUGCCUGAGCCGGGGGUCUUUCGGAAACGGCCUUUCUACUUCAUCAGAGGUAGAGGUAUGGACUGCGUACAUCUUACCCCCCCAGACCCCACUAAGUGGGAAUACACUGGGUUUGUUGUUGUUGUUGAGAUAAUGGACUCGAAGCACUGUUGGAAACGUCAGAUAUCUGCUGUCAUGAACUUCACAGAACAAAUACGAAAUAGUGACAUCGGAUGAUAUUCUGAUAAUUGUGGAAUCCAGUACAAGAUUAAGAUAGCAAUACAAGGUAAUAAAAUACUUGCUGAAGAAAGAGAAAAUAAAGGGAAGAUAAAGCCACAGACAGAGAGAAAUAUCUUAACCAACUUUUCCGACCGCUACUCUACCUACUCGCAUUAUUCUAUUUAAACCAGUGCUACCUCGCCCACGCCUGUUGGCAACACCGCAGAUAUAAUUAGCCAGUUUCUGAUUUGGUAAUCGCACCCUUUUGCUUCUUCUUGGCAGAUUGCCAAGUCCACUUGAUGGCUCAUUUUCACAGCUUGCCCCAACAACCUCAUCAGUUAUUAGGCCCAGAUUUGUGAAAAAAUAGUUACUCAACUCCUGUUGCUCCAUACAUGUAAAAUUUUGCAUUUCGACUUGCUUUAACUUAUGCCUCCAACAUUUCCGAGUUAAAGAUGUGCAACAAGGCUUCUCAUCUUCAUCUGAUGCAUCUUCAAAAAUAAACUGUAAAGCCAAGAAAAUCAGCAUGUAAGGACUAUGUACAACAAGAGCAAAGUUAAAAAGAACUGUCUUCAUGCUUUAAAUGUAUCGGGUUUAGUUUUUGACCGCUUUGACCGCUCGAAAACAAUACUCUCUUUCUUUAAUCGGAGCAACAUUUUCUUGAAGGGUUAAGACUCUUGGUUUUAUUCAAUGGGCAACACUUUGCCCUAAUGUUGACAGACUUAUAAGCGCGAACCAACAACAAUUAACCAGAAAAGAGCUAUGUUGCUUGGAUUCUCCAAAUAUAUUGUUGUACCCGUGUUGGAUCCUCCAACAAUACACUACUUUUGGAGGAUCCGACAUGCACAUGUCGACAUUUUUGAAGAGUCCGAGCAACAUAGGUAAAGAGGCCAUAUCACAUUAUGUGGUAAAAAGAUUCAUAUAAACAAAUUUUAAGGGCUAAGAAGAAUUUCACAAAUUCAAUUAUCUCUCUACAGGCUUAAAUUGACCAGUUAGCAGGUAAUUGCAAUGUUAGGUCAAGAAACCAAUUCCAAUGGUGCUAUGCUAGACACUGAAUCAAGAGGCUUGUAAAAACAAGGAAGAAUUUACCUUCAGGGUCUUUAAGUCAGCCUGGUGAAAAGAUAAGGUGUCCAGUUGAGGAGAAAUCCAAAGCAAACUGUCAACAAUAUCCGCAGCUGAAUACUUCAAUUUAUUUUGAAAUUUUACAUGCGAACGGUCAGUACCAUAAAGCGGAGGCACUAAGCUUUCCCUCAUGUCGGAGAAAAAGAAACAACUUAUUAGAAAUCCCAGCAGCUAGCUUCUUCAAGCUGUGUAUCUAAAGACUUUGAAAGACAUAAUACCUCAUCAUUUUUGCUUGAUAAUUCAACAGCCCUGUAGGGAUUGAUAAUAAACACCUUUAGAUGACUACAUCUCAAGGUCCACAAGGUUAGGUGCUCUAAUAUCAACCUCGUCGAAUUCAGGAGGGCAAGCACUAAAUCCCAAUUCUACCUUUUUUAGCUUGGAUACUGGUAGGUCCUUCAAAGCAAUGCAAAGACAAGAGCUGUAAAUUGGAGCAGUUUGUGGAUAGAUAGGUGAUCCAAAAGUACAAAUUGGAGGUAAAGGGUGUGCAAAGAUGAAAACUUGAUAGGAGGAUUAGAAGGGGGUAAUUCAAUCUCACAGCCUCUCAAAAGUAGAAGAUUGAGUAAAGAUGUUGUGAGGCAGAGUGGGGUAGUGGUAAUCCAGAGUCUUAGCUGUGUCCAUCAUUGUAAAAUCCAAAGCGACGAGGGCUUCAAACAUAUUGUCGAUUCCAAAAAAGCAAAUAGGGAAAGCGUAGGUGAUUUUGGCGAAUUGUUAGAAGGUGAGUAACAAAGUUGAUGCGCCUUGUCCACAUAAGUCAUAGGAAUUCCCAAAGUUUAAUGAGAG